rnacentral:lncRNA from 10 species
AGCGAAGGGCACGCCCCGCGCGGGUGCCAGGGAGGCCGGCAGGGGCGUCCGCGGUCGCUGCUCACCUGCGCUCCCCGCUGCCCGGCCCAGCCCGCCUCGCCACCGAGUCUGGAAGCCCACACUCACCCCUUUACCCGGGAAACGCGGCCGGAGCCGGCGGCGGGUCGGGAGUCCGAGAUGGUAGAUCCCCCUCCAGGCGCCUCGCUGACAUUUUGUCCCGGACGGAAAACCUCCGCGCGUGCCCCUUAAAGACACAGCGCUGCAUUCACACGUCUGCGGGGAAAGGGGGGCCGUCACGUGUGGCCUUCGCCCGAAAGCGGUAGGGGAGUCGCUCUGAAACCGCCAAGGAUCGCGAGCGACAGAUUUGUGUUGGCCAGGGUUUUAAGAUGACGCAAUAGCUGAGUGUGGUUGAAAUGUAACUAUUGUUUUACAACUUUGCAUUAACCUUCCAAGACCUGAAUUCCCGGGCCUGAGUCUCAGAGCGCGGUUUGCAUCUUUGCAGGCUGUAGGCGCAUGAUGUCACAAGUUAUUGGAAGAAAUCCCUCCAACCUAGGUUGGGACAGAUGAAGGCGGCGCUUAUUGGUGUUCACCAAAACACCAGCAUGGUGUACCAGCUUUGGCUAGAUGAUGCUCAGACGGGCCUGUCUAAUUGCAGGAAAACAAACUCAGGGCUCCCACUGAUUCUACA